rnacentral:rRNA from 1 species
GACCCGUAAUCCGGGUUGCGGACAGUGUCUGGUGGGUAGUUUGACUGGGGCGGUCUCCUCCUAAAGAGUAACGGAGGAGCACGAAGGUUGGCUAAUCCUGGUCGGACAUCAGGAGGUUAGUGCAAUGGCAUAAGCCAGCUUGACUGCGAGCGUGACGGCGCGAGCAGGUGCGAAAGCAGGUCAUAGUGAUCCGGUGGUUCUGAAUGGAAGGGCCAUCGCUCAACGGAUAAAAGGUACUCCGGGGAUAACAGGCUGAUACCGCCCAAGAGUUCAUAUCGACGGCGGUGUUUGGCACCUCGAUGUCGGCUCAUCACAUCCUGGGGCUGAAGUAGGUCCCAAGGGUAUGGCUGUUCGCCAUUUAAAGUGGUACGCGAGCUGGGUUUAGAACGUCGUGAGACAGUUCGGUCCCUAUCUGCCGUGGGCGCUGGAGAACUGAGGGGGGCUGCUCCUAGUACGAGAGGACCGGAGUGGACGCAUCACUGGUGUUCGGGUUGUCAUGCCAAUGGCACUGCCCGGUAGCUAAAUGCGGAAGAGAUAAGUGCUGAAAGCAUCUAAGCACGAAACUUGCC